rnacentral:rRNA from 1 species
AAUGAACGCUGGCGGUAUGCCUAACACAUGCAAGUCGAACGGCAGCACAGUAAGAUCUUGCUCUUACGGGUGGCGAGUGGCGGACGGGUGACGAGUGCAUCGGAAUCUUCUUUUUCUUGGGUGAUAACGUAAGGCAACUUACGCUAAUACCUCAUACGAUCUACGGGUUAAUGCAGUGGAUCUUCGCGCCUUUCGCGAUUGAAUUAGCCGAUUUCGGAUUAGCUAGUUGGUUGGGUAAAGUCCCACCAAGGCGACGCUCCGUAGCUGGUCUGAGAGGAUGAUCAGCCACACUGGAACUGAGACACGGUCCAGACUCCUACGGGAGGCAGCAGUGGGGAAUAUUGGGCAAUGGGCGAAAGCCUGAUCCAGCAACACCGCGUGGGUGAAGAAGGCCUUCGGGUUGUAAAGCUCUUUUGUUGGGGAAGAACAGAUGCGGAUGAAUACCUGCCUGUUCUGACGGUACCCAAUGAAAAAGCACCGGCUAACUACGUG